rnacentral:rRNA from 1 species
UACAGGGGGUGCAAACGUUGCUCGGAAUCAUUGGGCGUAAAGCGCACGUAGGCGGUCUGUUAUGUCGGAUGUGAAAGCCCUUGGCUUAACUGAGGAAGUGCAUCCGAAACUGGCAGGCUAGAGUACUAAAGAGGGUCGCGGAAUUCCCGGUGUAGAGGUGAAAUUCGUAGAUAUCGGGAGGAACACCGGUGGCGAAGGCGGCGACCUGGGUAGAUACUGACGCUGAGGUGCGAAAGCGGUGGGGAGCAAACAGGG